GACGAACGCUGGCGGCGUGCUUAACACAUGCGAGUCGAGCGAUGAAGCACCUUCGGGUGUGGAUUAGCGGCGAACGGGUGAGGAACAUGUGAGGAAUCUGCCUUUCACUUCGGGAUAACUCCGGGAAACCGGGGCUAAUACCGGAUAUUUUCAACUGGCGGCAUCGCCGGUUGAAGAAAGUUUUUCGGUGAAAGAUGACCUCGCGGCCUAUCAGCUUGUUGGUGCGGUAAAGGCUAACCAAGGCGACGACGGGAAGCCGGCCUGAGAGGGCGACCGGCCACACUGGGACUGAGACACGGCGCAGACUCCUACGGGAGGCAGCAGUGGGGAAUAUUGGGCAAUGGAGGAAACUCUGACCCAGCGACGCCGCGUGAGGGAUGAAGGCCUUCGGGUUGUAAACCUCUUUCAGCAGAGAAUAAGCGAAAGUGAAGGUACCUGCAGAAGAAGCACCGGCUAACUAUGUGCCAGCCGCCGCCGUAA
rnacentral:rRNA from 1 species